CCCAAAAAUGCAAUGUCAUGUGAACGAAUAAUUCAUUAUCUUCAUAUACAUCGUCCUAAUUCAAACCCUCGCCUCUUUCUUCUUCCUCCAUCCCCAAAUCCCACAGAUCGGAUAAUUAGAAACUGAUUUAUAUAAGGAUUUAACUGAUAAUUCGAUCUUAGGGUUUCGCGAUUCUCUCUUCUUCACCGGAAUUCGAAAAUUAGGUUCAAUUUGUUGUAGGAUUUGAAGGCGCGCUCGUACAAUGUACAACGGAAUAGGGUUACAGACCCCUCGGGGCUCCGGCACCAACGGCCACAUACAGUCGAACAAGUUCUUCGUGAGGCCGAAGACGAACAGGGUCACAGAUUCGAGCAAGGGAUUCGAAUCGGGUCAAGGAAUGGCGGGCGUGACCCGGAAAGCUAAUAAGGAGAUACUGGAGCACGAUCGCAAGCGUCAGAUUCAACUCAAGCUUCUCGUGUUGGAGGAUAAGCUGGUUGAUCAGGGGUAUACCGAUGCUGAGGUGGCAGAGAAGCUCGAAGAAGCGAGGAAGUCGCUUGAGGCGAAAGAUGAGAACGAAGAUGGGGGAAACUAUGGCGGUACAUCUGAAAAGGUUUCCGAGACGCAGACCCAUCAGAUUGCUGCAUUGAAGGAAAGGCAGAUGGAAACACUAAAAGCUGCUCUUGGUAUAGAAUCGGAAGCUGAGAAAGAAAAGAAACGCCUUGAAGCUGAGGAGGCUUUGGAACUAGAAGAGGGUGAACUUAGAAACAUCCACAAAAAGGAUGCUGCUAACAGUCAUAAGAUUAAGCUGCAUGAAAAAGAUGCAAGAGAUGACAAGGAUGUGAAAACGAAGCGCCAAGAGAAAGAGAAAACCAAAAGAAGGCAUGAUGAUUCCUCUGAUUCCGAUACCGUUGAGAAGAGGCAUGAGACUAAGGAGAGACAAAAAAAAGGCAGAGGAGCUGCAGCUACCAGUGAUGAUGAUUCUGAUGUCGAUAUUAGGAAGAGAAGAAAAGAGUCUUCCAUGAAAGAGUCAUUGAAGAAAAACAGGAAAGCUCUGAAAAAACGUGGCAGUAGUUCUUCUGAGUCGGAAUCUCAGUCUGAAUCUGAUUCCGGCUCAGGUUCGGAAUCUGACCAUGAUAAGAAAAUACCUCGUCGACGGUAUGGUUCUGAUGAUGGGUAUAAUUCUGGUGGUAGAUCUAAAAGUAGAAAGCAAAAUGUAAAGAAUCUUCCCAAAAGCAAGCGACACGAUUCUGAUGGUGAUAGUUCUGAUGAAGGCCGGGUAAGUCAAAAGUCAAAGAGCAGAAAACACGAUUCUUAUGAAAAAGACAGCUCCGAUGAUGACUCUAAACAGCGUCAUAAGGGGAAGCAAACUGAGAAAAGUAGAGAAAUUGACUCUGAUGAAGGCCCGAAAAAUAAGAGCCGAAGCGGGAAAGAGCCUUCCAAAAGCAGGCGGCAUGAUUCUGAUGAUGAGCUAGAGGAAGAUGAAAGAACUCGGUCUAAGAAAAUAACUCACCAGAAAACUCCUGUUGACAAUAGUAGGAAAAUGAGGAGUGAGAAACGAGAGGAAGUCGUUGGGAGGUAUGGUCAAGAAAGUGAAUCUGAUUCUGAUGAAGCAAAUAAAAAGAAAACAGAGCGACAUGAUAGAUACGAGUAUGAUGCUAGCCGUUAUUCUGAUGUUGAGUUUGAGGAAGAUGAGAGAACUCGGUCUAAGAAAACGACUCAGCAUCAUCAAACCCGCAGACCACAGGACCCUUCUGCUGACUAUCGUAGGAAAGACAGGAGCGAUAGACACGAUAAAGUCGGAGGGAGGUAUGGUCAAGAAAGUGAAUCUGAUUCUGAUGAAGCAACCAAAAAGAAAACAGAGCAACGUGAUAGAGAUGAACGUGAUUUAAAUGCUGGGGAUGGUAGAAAAAAUCAAACUCACGAUUCUGGUAAGGAUUAUAACCGUAAGAGGAAUGAUUCCAUUGAAAGAAACAGAGACAAUGAUAAAACCCGUGAUAGAGUUGGAGGAGUUGAGUCCGUUCCGAAGAAUAGAAGUGGUUAUGGUGAUGAGUCACGGGGCGACAGAGGUGGAGAGAAGGGUUAUGCACCCGAAACUGAUGACUGGGAGAAACUAAAGAACAAGGUUUCUGCUCGAGUAGACACAUUCAAGAAAUUGGAGCAAUUGUCCAAAUCAAAGGGAGAUGGGUCUAGAGAUAGAAGUGAAGAUACGACGAGGGGUAAGAGAAAGACAGAUGGAAGUUUGGAUGAGCAGCAGCCUGAGCGGAAGUCGAGAAAGCUGGAUUCGACGAAAGAAACUGGUUAUGAGGGGACUAAAGUUUCUUCGGAGAGACAAAGCAAAUCAUACAAGCAACCUGUGGAAGAUAAUAGCAAAGAUUCAAGGCCAAUAAUACCUGAGAAAAGGAGAGAUAAUCGGGACAAUGAAGAUGGCCAAAGUAGAAGAGAAAGAGGAGAUGAUGUGGCAUAUAAGAGAGAUCGUGGAAGAGAGAAGGAAGAGCAUGAGAGAGGUGACGUGGCAUAUAAGAGAGAUCGUGGAAGAGAGAAGGAAGAGCAUGAGAGAGGUGACGUGGCAUACAAGAGAGAUCGUGGAGGAGAGAAGGAAGAGCAUGAGAGAGAUGAGGUGGCAUACAAGAGAGAUCGUGGAAGAGAGAAGGAAGAACAUGAGAGAGAUGGCGUGGCGUACAAGAGAGAUCAUGGAAAAGAGAAGGAAGAGCAUGAGAGAGAUGACAUGGCAUACAAGAGAGAUCGUGGAAGAGAGAAGGAAGAGCAUGAGAGAGAUGACGUGGCAUACAAGAGAGAUCGUGGAAGAGAGAAGGAAGAGCGUGAGAGAGAUGGAGAAUAUGCCUCGAAGAGGGCUAGAUACGAUGAAGGAUCUUCUAGAGGAAGAAGAUACGACGAUGGCAGCAACGAUGACAGGCGAUCCAGACACCGGUGAGAUCAACAAAUCUCAUGACAGCAAGAAAUGAUUGUACUUGGUACCUAUUGCAUAUUGGAAUGGAGUCAUGGUGGGUCAGGCUGGCCUGUGGCAAGAAGGGAUCGGACAACAGUUGUAUUGAAAAUUGUCGAACUCGUGUUGGAAGGAGCUUCCUUGCUCGUAUGGUGGAAUCGUGUUUUGGUAUUAUUUCUAUACCACACCUGUUGAAGGUCUUUUGCUGAAGGUCUUUUGCUUACACCUGGUGAAGGUUACACAAAUCAAUGUGUAUAUAUUUGUGCGUAUAUGAAUGGUAGAGUUCUACCCAUCAUCAGAUGUAGCAUAGUAUAACCCAGGGUUUAGAUAUAAUGAUGGAAGUAAUAUUUAUUUCACAUUUAUAUAAAUCAAACUAUCAGCACAAACUUGAGCAAUAAAAUCAAAGAGGAUCAUCAUAUAACUUUAAGUUGGAUGCAAUUACAGUUCAAAAAUGCUGCAAAGAGAAAAAACAAAAACAA